rnacentral:rRNA from 1 species
AAACAUCGCCUCCUGCAGUAUAUAGGAGGUCCAGCCUGCCCAGUGACCAAGUUAAACGGCCGCGGUACCCUAACCGUGCGAAGGUAGCGCAAACACUUGUUCUUUAAAUGAGGACUAGUAUGAAUGGCAUCACGAGGGUUACACUGUCUCCCACCUCUAAUCAGUGAAACUGAUCUCCCCGUGAAGAAGCGGGGAUAAAACUAUAAGACGAGAAGACCCCAUGGAGCUUCAAACCCGGCAUCAACCAUUAACAUUAAUACCACAUUAAAUAAAUGGACCUGACUGCUGGUUUUAGGUUGGGGUGACCGCGGAGCAUAACAAAACCUCCAUGAUGAACGACCUCCUCUCUAAUCCGAGAGCCACCACUCAAAGAAUCAAAAAAUUGACAUUUAUUGACCCAAACUAUUUUGAUCAACGAACCAAGUUACCCUGGGGAUAACAGCGCAAUCCAUUUCAAGAGCCCCUAUCGACAAAUGGGGUUUACGACCUCGAUGUUGGAUCAGGGUAUCCUAGUGGUGCAGCCGCUACUAA